UACGUAGGAGGCAAGCGUUGUCCGGAAUUACUGGGCGUAAAGCGCGUGUAGGUGGUGGGACAAGUCUGCUGUGAAAUCUCCCGGCUUAACCGGGAGGGUGCGGUGAAUACUGAGGGACUAGAGUACGGGAGAGGAAAGUGGAAUUCCUGGUGUAGCGGUGAAAUGCGUAGAUAUCAGGAGGAACACCGGUGGUGUAGACGGCUUUCUGGACCGACACUGACGCUGAGACACGAAAGCGUGGGUAGCAAACAGG
rnacentral:rRNA from 1 species